UUUCUGAGACAGUUGUCUCGAUGAUGAGCUUUGCAUCUGCUUUUAAGGAAAUCCAGUGGCAAAAAAAAAAAAUAUACCCAUCCAGGAGAUCAAUGCAUAUAAAUAACCAUGCAACAAGGGUUUGCAAUGAUGCUGAAGUGCCUGAGCCCCUGCCUGUCCAAGAGCUGGGGGGGAUAGGAAAGAGAACAUCUGCCACACGGGCUGAAUAAAAGGUGAAGAUGCCAGCAGAGCUUUCGAACACUCCUGUCCCCCUCCUGAACAGCCCUCUCGGUGGCACUGGCAGCAAAACAAGGGCUCAGGGCGACAUUUCCAGCAGGUGAGAUGUGACUUCGCUUGGCUCUGCCUGCGCUUGUCACCCCACCCCCCGUACACUGCAGCUUUCUUGGUGCUAUCUGCUUAAAUGACUAAUGCGAAUGAACUAAUGAAGAUAAGGAAAUCAGAUUUUACGUAACGAUGUGCACUGAUGUGCACACGCAAAGCACAUGUGUGCGCACGUGUGGGUGCAAAACAGCUCCAGCGCAACCAUUUCAGUACAAGUAUCUGUCACCUUUUCACACAUUUUUACAGUCCGGUAAAAUCAUGUGGCAGCUGCACACACCGCCAUGAGGCCUGGAGUUUUCAAUAGGGCAGCUGAUGGCUCAUUAGCACCUUUUAUGCCCCAUUGUCUCUGUCCUCACUGUGCACCCCCCACACUGGCACGCAUUGACCCCCCAGCUAGAGGAGGGGAGGAGAGGGGCGGAACCCUCUGCCAACAGACAGGGUCCUCAGCCAAUGAGGUGCCAAGACCCGGAGAAGCUUCCGGUCCAUGUUGAUAACACCCACAGCCAGAUCCGACUAGGCUGUAAAAUGAGGUUCCUACGGAGCCCCCCUUGGCGUGGGCUGUGGGCCUGUGAACAGAGCCUUCCCCUUAGAGAGGCACACCAUCUAAAGAGACUUCCCUGAACUGAGAGCCUUCACCUCCUCCUCGCCCUGGAAACCCCAUUUGAUUCCAUGAUACAGACAAGACCAUCAGCAGACCAAAGGACAGUUGCAAAAGCCAUCUCUGUAUGGAGGACUGCAUGGAUUUAUUUUAAGGGUGGAUGCCACCAGGAAUCAGAUAAGAGAGGGGUCAUGACAGCCAUUAGGAAUGGAAGGGACACAGAAAAUUUGAAAUUUGGAUAAGCUGUCCAGAAGGAAGACAGAAACUGCAGAAAUAAUGAGAAGAUAACUGUUCUCUUCCUGAAUGGUAAAGAGCCUCAGAGAAUUCAAAGAUGGAAGCAGAGAAGCUCUGAUACUUGCAGUGAAACUGAUGACAAAGUAAGCUGCUGUGUAGCUAUAGAGGAAGGAGCAUGAACUAGGACCUGCCAUAGGAGGAAAACUUGAGACAGUUUUGGUGUGAAUAAAUUAUUAUUUUGUUACUUAGGCACUCUGGACACUUUACUGUCUGUAUCAGCUUCUUGAAAUCCUGUCUAGAUCUUUAAUUUAGAAAGUGAGUGUUCUUUCUUAAUAUAUUAAUAUCAGCAAUGUUUAAAUUUCAACAAUAGUUUAAUGAGAUGGUUCUCAUGCAUCCUUAUAACAAAUACAGAGAAUUUAAAGUAACAGUCUCUGAGUUUAUCUUCAGCACCCUCCUUGCCUCCAGUGCUCUGCUUAGAUUCUCAUUUAAAUAGCAAUGGGUUAUGAAAAAAAAAGUCUAAUCUGUUCCCUCACUGUGUCACUGUGCAUGCAUACAUUAUUUUAUCCCCUAAGGCACUUGCAAGAAACCCCCAAAGACCCUUGUUGAGUCACAUAAAAAAAGCUCUUGUGGAAAAUAAGAGUUGAAAGGAAUAUUACUUUCUGCAAUCUUUCCAUACAGAGGGAAUAUAGAAAAUAGUCUGGGUUUUGACUAAUUGAAUUACCAUUUUGGGGAGGUAAUAAUAUCUAGCUCUGCUGUACAGGACAUUUAAUCCUUAAAUUUAAAAUUCAUUCAUAGGUCAAUCUUUUCAUUUUACGUGUCUGGUACAACUGAGGUAGAAACAAGGAAGAAAGGUCUAACCAAUAUCAUUUAACAACCUGAAUUGCCUUUCAAGCCCCAGCCCACAAGACUGCUCUUCACAGCAUCGUGACUAGCUCCUAAUUUUCCCACUCAGUUUUAUAACUUAAAUUGAUGCAAACCAUCCGUAUCAUAAAUCAAAGAAGUUUUGCACAUAACUGCAGGUUUGACUGUUACAGUCACGCAUAUUUCAGGAUGCCAUGUAGUGAAAAUCAGUGUAGCUCCACUGGAAUCAAUGGAGUUAAUUUAUACCUAGGUAUAAAUUAACUUAUCUCCGUGAAGUCAGUGAGAGCUUUUGCUGUUCCUUUAAUUGAUGACAGAAUCAGGACAAAGGUGCUGUUGUGAUCUACUCUUGGUGCCUAGGAAUAUGGAAUAUUUAAGUUUUUAUCUAUUGUUAAGUAUUACAUUAACAUGUUCAGUUUUUUGAAAAGUGAGCUCCUAGUAUCUUUUAAUUCAAUUGGCCCAGGAUACUGGUCUCAUUAAAAGAUGAUUGUAUAGCAAGAAAGAUGAAAGUGACCGAAGUUGGAAAAAUGAAAGCUUUAUAUAAAGAAGUGAAGGAAAAGGUUAUAUUUGGAAUGGAAAACAUGGGUUCAAAAAUAUCUUGUCCAUCACCAAGCUGUAUUGCUCCUUCAGUGAUUCAUAUUUGUAUUCCAUUCACAACUGUUAAAAGCAAUCAAGAAAUAAUAGGAGAAUCCUGAACCCCAAAAGAUGGGUACGGGUCCUUUACUUGGUCUAGUAAAGAAGGUAAUGAUCUGUGAGAAGUACACAAGCGGACUGAUAGAUGCUGCAGCAGUGCAGUAGGUGCCCACACUGGUGGUAAUUAAAGGGAAGAUAGGGUUUCUAAACAGGUGGUGUUUGUCAUUGUGUGUUGUUCAGGGUACCUGGGCUUAAACAAGUGACUGCUUGCUUGAAAUACCUACAAAUAUUUUAACAUUAAGUCCUUAACAUGUUUGCUUUUUCUUACUGAAACAUGCAUUUAGUAUUGAUUUAAUAGAAAAUCUGAUCCUAAAAUUCACAUUUUACCUCAAAUCUGUUAGAUAAAAUAUUAUCUUGUUUAAUUUCAAUUGUAUUUUAAAAUACUACUGAAGUCUGCACUCUGCUUUUGUUUCUUCAUUUCAAACAGCUGCUGACUCCUGCACUACAUAAUUAAUUUAAGUAUCAUUUGAGGUUACUUUAAUACAAUUUCCUCAUAAGUACAUGAGAAACAUACUGGCUAUUUAGAGUUCAAUACAUUAAUCGUAGACAAGAGUCAGUUGUCAUGGUUUCUAUCACAGACAAGCGUGAAGGGGUCAGUUCAUUCCCAAAUUCAUUAUAACCUCAAAGAGUUCAGUUACCAUUUUGUCUCAUUUUAAAUGAGUAUGUAAUGAGUCACAUGAGUUAAUCCCAUUUAUAUGGUUUUAUGAAGCAGGAUUGCCAAGUUAUAUGCUUUUGAGUUAGAAGAAAGGUUCAAAAAAAAGGAAUGAACUCAGAAUACCAAACCCUCACUGUGAACAAUGCCUGGCCAUGCAGAAAGGAACAUUUUACCUUGCAAUAUGUUAGCAACCUGUUGAUAUUUUAAUUAAGCACAAGAGAUCUUCAAGAAGAAGAAUAGAAGAAAGCAGUCCUACUUCCUCCAACUACACUUUCUCCUCUGAAUACAACCUGAGGACUGACAUGAUGCCCAGCAGUUGAUUCAGUGACAGGCUGGGUUGCAUGAGGGUCUAAUCACCAUAUCAGCUGGAGGUAAAGGAAGAAUAUCUGCAUUUGCUUUGUGCAUUAGGCAAGAUUUUCUUUCAUUUUUUUAUAUUUGUUUGAUAGUCCUUAUGAUUCUUCACAAUUUGGUACUUCCUAACUGAAUGCUUUUAUUUGUCUUCAAAUUAAAUAUGAUUUAAAGGCACUUUGAUACUGUAGAGGCAUUUGUAGAGUAUGAUAUUAAAGUGUGGAAACUAAACUGUCCAUACCACACUCACAUACACCUCACUAAACUGUUCUGGUCUUUAAUCGAGCUCCAUUUGCUGGCUUGGGAGUUAGUUAUGCCGUGGCUAAGAAAUGUCUUUUGUGUGUACGUUGUUAGCCAAGUAACAAUUGUACUUUUUUCUUAAUGUUAGAGUUCAGAAUAUUUUUAAAAGCUAUUGCCUGGCAUACAGCUUUCUUAUGAUCUUGAAACGUCUUUUCCUGGUUCAAAGGCAGCACCUUGUGUUGCUUAAAAUUAAAGCAUGUCCUAAUGAAAA